GACCCCAGGUCAGGCGGGGUUACCCGCUGAGUUU
rnacentral:rRNA from 2 species